rnacentral:misc_RNA from 1 species
GAAAUGCGAUAAGUAGUGUGAAUUGCAGAAUUCAGUGAAUCAUCGAAUCUUUGAACGCACAUUGCGCCCCUUGGUAUUCCAUGGGGCAUGCCUGUUCGAGCGUCAUCUACACCCUCAAGCUCUGCUUGGUGUUGGGCGUCUUUGUCCCGCCUCCGCGCGCGGACUCGCCCCAAAUUCAUUGGCAGCGGUCCUUGCCUCCUCUCGCGCAGCACAUUGCCAUUCGAGGCGGCGGCGGCCCGCGUCCAACAAGCUCAACCCCCCCGUCUUUGACCUCGGAUCAGGUAGGGAUACCCGCUGAACUUAAGC